rnacentral:tRNA from 2 species
GCUCCUUUGGCGCAACUGGCAGACGCGGCAGAUUUAGGUUCUGUAAGUUAAGGGUUCGAGUCCCUUAGGGAGCA